rnacentral:rRNA from 1 species
UACGGAGGGUGCAAGCGUUAUCCGGAUUCACUGGGUUUAAAGGGUGCGUAGGCGGGUAUGUAAGUCAGUGGUGAAAUCCUGGAGCUUAACUCCAGAACUGCCAUUGAUACUAUAUAUCUUGAAUAUUGUGGAGGUUUGCGGAAUAUGUCAUGUAGCGGUGAAAUGCUUAGAUAUGACAUAGAACACCUAUUGCGAAGGCAGCAGGCUACACAAAUAUUGACACUGAGGCACGAAAGCGUGGGGAUCAAACAGG